CGUGUAGGCGGUCUCAUAAGUCAGAUGUGAAAUUCCCGGGCUUAACCCGGGCGCUGCAUCUGAAACUGUGGGACUUGAGUACUGGAGAGGAUAGUGGAAUUCCUAGUGUAGCGGUAAAAUGCGUAGAUAUUAGGAGGAACACCGGUGGCGAAGGCGACUAUCUGGACAGUAACUGACGCUGAGGCGCGAAAGCGUGGGGAGCAAACA
rnacentral:rRNA from 1 species